rnacentral:lncRNA from 1 species
UUCUCUCUCCUAGAGGCCACGCUGUGGGUGCAGUUGUCCGUUCGUCCCCCGGGGAUGCCAUUGACUGCAGCAGCCUCAGGCUUGCGUGGGCUGUCUCUGCCUGGCCUCCCUCUCCUCGCGGCGCGGGAGCGCAGAGGGACAGGCGGAGUGCAUACUGGCUGUGGACAGGAGCUGCUGAAGCUGGAGAGGCUAGAGAAUGUUAAAGAAGAAAUGGAAGGCCAUCCGGCUGGCAGCUGCCUUCUGCUGCAGGCAAGAGAGACCCUGCCUCUCUGCUUCCGGAAGGAUCCCUCUUCAUAGUCCACAGCAGGUCAGACCGCCAACGUGCACCACAGGGUGGAGGACAGUCAAGAGACAGGAGUUACAGAAGAGGAAGGGAAGAGAGAAGGAGAAAGAAAUGUCUGAACUGGCAAAGGCUUCUGGCAGUGCCGAGAGCAAGAGCUGUGUGUCACCUUCCGCAUCACACGAAGAAAAUCCUGCGUGGGUAAUUCCGCUUGCUGCUCAGCGUUCUAGCGAUGGGUCGUUUCUACUGUGGCGAAGCAUCGAGAUGCGGUUUUCGGUGUAA